AUGAAGGCGUCCUGGAGGUCCUUGCCCAUGGGCGCGGCGCCGGACAUGACCAUGCGGAUGGAGGCGAGAUCGCCGGCGGUCACCUGGGGGCUCUUGGCGAUCUCCACCACGAUGGGCGGCACGAAGGGCGCGAUGGUGAUGCCGUGCGCGCGCACCAGCUCCACCAGCGCGCCGAUGUCGAACUUGCGCAUGAUCACCAUCGCCGACCCGGCCCGCAGCCCCGCCAGCAGCACCGAGUUGAGCGAGUAG
rnacentral:rRNA from 1 species